rnacentral:lncRNA from 1 species
ACCAACAUAUUAGUUUUCUGGGCAUUCAUCAUUAAAGAAAUAAGUCGAGACUUCAAAAGUACACUACAACCACAAGCCAACAAUAUCACAAUAUUCCAUAUCCAUCAAACCAUGAGCUGAUUACCAUCAAUCCACCAUAGGAAAUGAAAAAACGGUAAUGGGUAGGGCAUGCUCCCAAGCUGGAUGUUUUCUUGUUCUUCCGGUCACGGCUGCGGU